rnacentral:tRNA from 1 species
GACCGGAUAGCUCAGCUCAGCGGUAGAGCAUCUGGGUGCAAACUAGAAGGUCCUGGGUUCAAUCUCCAGUCUGGUCG